rnacentral:rRNA from 1 species
AGAGUUUGAUCCUGGCUCAGGACGAACGCUGGCGGCGUGCUUAACACAUGCAAGUCUACGAGAAUGAGGUAGCAAUAUCUUUAGUAAAGUGGCGCACGGGUGCGUAACACGUAAGCAAUCUACCUUUGGGUCUGGAAUAACUUCGAGAAAUCGAGGCUAAUACCGGAUAAUGCAGCGGCAUCGCAUGGUGAUGUUGUUAAAGUUUGUGUAAUGCCUAAAGAUGAGCUUGCGUCUGAUUAGCUAGUUGGUGAGGUAAUGGCUCACCAAGGCGAUGAUCGGUAGCCGGCCUGAGAGGGUGUACGGCCACACUGGGACUGAGAUACGGCCCAGACUCCUACGGGAGGCAGCAGCUAAGAAUAUUCCGCAAUGGACGAAAGUCUGACGGAGCGACGCCGCGUGGAUGAUGAAGGCCGAAAGGUUGUAAAGUCCUUUUGCUGGGGAAGAAUAAGCGUGGGAGGGAAUGCCCGCGUGAUGACAUGAACCGGCGAAUAAGCCCCGGCUAACUACGUGCCAGCAGCCGCGGUAACACGUAGGGGGCGAGCGUUGUUCGGAAUUACUGGGCGUAAAGGGCAUGUAGGCGGCUUUGUAAGCUUGGCGUGAAAUUCCACGGCUUAACCGUGGGAAUGCGUUGAGAACUGCGAGGCUUGAGUGACGGAGAGGGAGCUAGAAUUCCUGGUGUAGGGGUGGAAUCUGUAGAGAUCAGGAAGAAUACCAAUGGCGAAGGCAAGCUCCUGGCCGAUGACUGACGCUGAGGUGCGAAAGUGUGGGGAUCAAACAGGAUUAGAUACCCUGGUAGUC